GUCGCGUUCCGGUUGAAAACAUUCGCAGUGACAGUGACGUGGUAAGAAUUUGGAAAACAUUUAUGUUUUUAUUCUCGUACGACGACGUCGGGAAAUACGAAACAGGCCUUAUUCUAACGGGCAGUAGGACCCAAAUCGGGCUGUAGGAAAUAUCGAAAGUGCAGUUGGCUUCAUGAAUGUAGGGCGCUUUAUAAAAAAAAAUAAUUUUUCUUAUCGUUGAGAAUGAUUGAAUUCUUACUGGGUAUUUGUGCCAAUUUAUAAAUGUGCCUUGUAACUAAACCAGAGUCGCGCAUGUUUAAUUUUUGAGCGUCCCGUAGCGAAAAUGAAUCAUUUUUUCCCCGACGUGUUUUAAAUGUAUUUUUGCUUAUCGGUUUACACACCAUGCGAUUCGUACGCCGCGAUUGUGCCGCGUUUUGUCUGCAGUUCGUUCAUUAUUACUGCUACUGUAUUUCGUUUUUCGAUUCCAUUUUCUUCGUUCGAUUUUGUUUAUUAUUUUUUUUUUUUUUUUUUUUGGGGGGGGAGGAGGGUUAGCAUUAAAGUCAACACGAAUUUCAUAAAAACAAACUUUUCAGUGUAUUUCGGGCAGCAGAUAAAAGUCCAUAGAACAAGCCCCGAUACGAAAAACCGCAUUUUUUUCCCCGCCGGAGGAACGGCGGCUGAUUGUAACGCGCGCUCUUGUUGUAACGUGUGUGUAUGUACGUACACGCGCGUACGCCGAUGAUAACGCAGGGUGCUUGUCGACCGGCGCGCGCCUUUUUAAAGGGUAUGAAAAGAAGAUUUAACGAUUUAUCUAUCGGCGGAGCGAAACGCCGUGCGACCGGCACACGAGUUGCGCCCGGGCCAACAGGCGCUUGCCGAAAUGUACGCGCGCGGGACGCGGCACAGGAUAGCGGACCUAUUUACAUGAAUUUAUCGCGGGAACUCUCCUGGGUGCGGACGCCGCCGCCGUUCGCGAUACCUUUCACGCGGUCUUAUUGGCUUAUCGGAGCGUUUUAAAUUCCGCGCGUGUCGGAUAAUGCGUACUGUCGUCGCGCGGGCGUUAUAGGUGCAGGCGGCAAUAUCAAAUUGUUUUUCAGACCAUGAGCGUGGCGGGGAUUAUAUUGGUUUUGAAAAGACGCGCGAGCGUGCUGCUGGUUUUUUAUCCGACUGACAGUAUUUUUCCACGGAAAUGUCGUUCCGAUUUCCAUUGCGUGAUAUUUUCUGCAAUUGUAUCCAGAUGAUGUAUUAGUGACGAGUAACCGUUUUUUUUUUUUUUUUUUUUUCGUAAUUCCGUUAAAAAUAAUUUAAUAGAGACAUGCAUGUUUCGCAGAAUACUCGUGUUUGCAGACGCGAUGAAGUUUUCAAAGCAUUCUAUCGAUUUUUCCGAGAUGUACGGAACUCAAAUUAUUUACUGCGAUGCAUAACUGAAUUUCGCUCAGGAUCGUGUUUCGUUAACAAUAGUUUAUUGUUGUUUACAGAAAAAAAAUUAAAUAAUUUUACUCGUAUCUUCCUAACUUUCCGUUUACAUCGCAUCCAUUAGCAGUAUCAGCUUUUUUUUUCAAAAUGUCCAAUGUGAACAACUUUUCCACUGGGAAACUCGAAU